rnacentral:lncRNA from 1 species
CAGACGGGGAGGCGCCUCCGGCGGUCUCCGCCCCUGUGGCUCAGACGGCGGCCCCGGCUCGUCUGUGGCGGGCGCGGUGAGGCGUGGCCCCCGCCGCUCCCCAGAGGGUGGCUUUGCCUGGGGCUGCGGCUCUGGGGCAGCGCGGGGCUCCCGGGGGGCCGUCCUGGGUGGCGGGGGCUUGUCUUCGUUCACUCUCCAGAGAAGAAAGCCCCCUGGACUCAGUGUCUCCCAAAUGUCGGUUAUUGAAGUCUUGCUGUAGUAUCCACACACCGCGGUGUGUUUUCUGUUUCUCUUUAAAUAUACUUCGAGCAGAAUUGCUUUUUUAAAAAAUUAACUAAGGUUUUUGGCUGCACCUUGAAGCUUGCAGGAUCUCAGUUCCCCAACCAGGAAUAGAACCCAGGUCCUAACCGUCGGACCACCAGGGAAUACCCCAGGAUUGCUUUUUUAAAAAAUAUUUUUAUUUGACUGCCCCAGGUCUCAGUUGCAGCAUGUGGGAUUUUUAGUCGUGGUAUAUGAACUCUUGGUUGCACCAUAUAGAAUCUAGGCCCCUCACCGGGCAUUCAGCCCGGGUCCCUCGCAGUAGAAGUGGUGAGUCCUAACAGCUAGACCGCGGGGGAGUUCCCCAGAAUUGCUUUUUAAUUCAGCCUCAUCCUCGACCAAGUCUGUGAAGUCCCAAGUUCAACGUGCCCGCUGCUUUCUCUCAUACAGAGAUAAGUGACUGUUGAGAUAAGUGACGGUUAUUGAAGACUGCCUGUUUGUGUGCCUCCUGUGGUCAUCUUGCAGGCCCCAGGAGCCCACUGUCCUCCGCGUGGGAAAGUCCUAGACCAGGUGGCCUAAUGACGGAUUCUGCAGAAGUGAAAGGCAAAAAGGGCCCUGGGACAGAGCCCGCACAGGAGCCCUCAGCGUCCAGCCGCUGCUGUCCGAGCAAUGCUGGAAGAGCCUCCGGGCCUCCCUGAGCCCCACGUGCCCGGCUCCGCUGCAAGCAGAGCGGAUACAUCCAGGGCUGAGUCCACGUGUCAGUGAGGAUGCUUUGGCUCCAAAAAAAAAAAAAAAAAAAAAAANNNNNNNNUUGCAGAAUAAGGAUGUACGCUGUUCUGUCCUGAGGCCAGGAAGCCGAUGGUCAGCUCAACAAGGUAACCAUCGACCCGGGUGCUCUCCGCCUUUCGCGAGGCCACCCCCAGCGCUUGGCUUGGUCCUUAAGCUUUGCCCUACGAAUUAGUGAGAAGGCUACUUUUCAAGCAUCACAAAAACAUCUAGAAGCGGGCUAUGUCCUGAUGAGUCUCUCUCUUUUAAUAGGGAGGAAUCUUUUCCAGGAGCCCCCCUGGACCGCACGCUCACACCCUGCCUACAAGGGGAGUGGCAGGAGUGGGUGAAGC